ensembl:lncRNA
AGAAGAAGAAGAAGAAGAAGAAGAAGAAGAAGAAGAAGAAGAAGAAGAAGAAGAAGAAGAAGAAGAAGAAGAAGAAGAAGAAGAAGAAGACAUGAAAUGCCUUUAAGUGGAUCAGUGAUCAGGUGUCCUCCUGCUUGUGAAAAGCCCGGGGGGAUGAGCCAUGAACCAGCCAAGUGUUUUGACCCUUGCUUUUGUCUGCCAUGAGAACCAGUUCGGUCCUGAUUCCCCCUUGGUGUUUACAUCCUGUGUGACCUAAUUUCCGGAGACUUAAGUGUCUUUAAUCCACGUCAUUAAACCAUUAAAGGGAACAGGAUAGUGUCUUGGUAAACGUAUCCAGUGUGGGAAAGGAGAAAACGAAGAAAGGAGGGAAGAAAAUAUGCAGUCAAACUUUGCAAUUCCAGCAGAGAUGCUACUUUCUGUCUGGCAGGUUCUCUGAGGUCUCAAAGAAGAAGAGGAGGCCGGGUCCUUCCGGAAGGACAGGGAAUACUUCUCUGUCAGCCUUCCUGCGUCACCACCAGGAAACCAGACCAACAGCGAGAGAAAAUGUAUAUUAGUGAAUAUCUAUUUCUGUUUAUGCUAGCCAAUAGUGAAUGCAAAUAUGCAUUCUUUGUGUUUGUGUGUGUGUGUGUGUUUGUGAUUGUGUGAUUGUGUAAGUGUGUAAAAGAAAGAAUGCGUGUCUGUUUUUCUGUAUGUAUUUUGUCAGUGUUUGCCUACGUGUAGAGGAGUGUGUAUGUGUGUGUUUGUGUGUUUAAGGGUGUGUGUGUGUGUGUGUGUGUGUGUGUGUGUGUGUGUGUGUGUGUGUGUGUGUGUGUGUGUGUGUGUGUGUGUGUGUGUGUGUGUGUGUGUGUGUGUGUGUGUUUAGGAGGAAGAAACAGCAUUUAGGGGAACGUUGACAGAGCUGAGCGCUGUGCUGUUGAGUUGUGGAAGGACAGAGCGAGCAUGCUGUGGCCCCUGGGAACCUUUCCUGUUAUGGCCUUUGUUUUUUUUACUCAAAUGCCAUUGUGUGAAAAAUACCCAAAAAGGCGUUUCUGGGUCUGGAGAUUCCUCCCUGGUUUGGUAACAGAUAUUGGUCGAUGAUGCUUCUGUCUGUCAUGAGAAGGUGGGUUCAGGCCAUCACAAUACAAUAACAAACAAUACAUAUAAUACUGUUCAUAGAAAUACUCUGUCCUUCUUAUUUUUAGUCGAAACAAGGAAGGAUGAAAAGAAGUAGAAAAUAAACAAGGAAAAUAAGAAGAAGAAGGAGAAGAAUGAGAAGAAGUAGAAGAA